UACGUAGGAGACGAGCGUUGUCCGGAGUUACUGGGCGUAAAGCGCUUGUAGGCGGUCCACCAAGUUUGGGGUGACAGUUGCCGACUUAAUCGGCAAAGUGCCUCAAAGACUGGCGGACUUGAGGGCCACAGAGGGACAUGGAACUCCAGGUGUAGUGGUGAAAUGCGUAGAUAUCUGGAAGAACACCAAAGGCGAAGGCAGUGUCCUGGGUGGUCGCUGACGCUGAGAGGCGAAAGCCAGGGGAGCGAACGGG
rnacentral:rRNA from 1 species